UAUACGGGAUAAGAAAGCAGAUCGCAUGAUCAGCUUUUAAAAAGGCGGCGUAAGCUGUCGCUAUGGGAUGGCCCCGCGGUGCAUUAGCUAGUUGGUAAGGUAAAGGCUUACCAAGGCGAUGAUGCAUAGCCGAGUUGAGAGACUGAUCGGCCACAUUGGGACUGAGACACGGCCCAAACUCCUACGGGAGGCAGCAGUAGGGAAUCUUCCACAAUGGACGCAAGUCUGAUGGAGCAACGCCGCGUGAGUGAAGAAGGUUUUCGGAUCGUAAAGCUCUGUUGUUGGUGAAGAAGGAUAGAGGUAGUAACUGGCCUUUAUUUGACGGUAAUCAACCAGAAAGUCACGGCUAACUACGUGCCAGCAGCCGCGGUAAAU
rnacentral:rRNA from 1 species